rnacentral:rRNA from 1 species
AACGUAGGAUGCAAGCGUUAUCCGGAUUUACUGGGCGUAAAGCGCGUGUAGGCGGUUUGGUAAGUUGGAUGUGAAAGCUCCUGGCUUAACUGGGAGAGGUCGUUCAAUACUGCCAAGCUUGAGGAUGGUAGAGGGAGGUGGAGUUCCGAGUGUAGUGGUGAAAUGCGUAGAUAUUCGGAGGAACACCAGUGGCGAAAGCGGCCUCCUGGACCAUUUCUGACGCUCAGACGCGAAAGCUAGGGUAGCAAACGGGAUUAGAAACCCGUGUAGU